rnacentral:rRNA from 1 species
GACGAACGCUGGCGGCGUGCCUAAUACAUGCAAGUCGAGCGAAUCAGCAGGAGCUUGCUCCUGUUGGUUAGCGGCGGACGGGUGAGUAACACGUGGGCAACCUGCCUGUAAGACUGGGAUAACACCGGGAAACCGGUGCUAAUACCGGAUAAUCCUUUUCCUCUCAUGAGGAAAAGCUGAAAGUCGGUUUCGGCUGACACUUACAGAUGGGCCCGCGGCGCAUUAGCUAGUUGAGGAGGUAACGGCUCACCAAGGCGACGAUGCGUAGCCGACCUGUGAGGGUGGUCGGCAACACUGGGACUAGGACACGGCCCAGACUCCUACGGGGUGCAGCAGUAGGGAAUCGUCCACAAUGGACGAAAGUCUGAUGGAGCAACGCAGCGUGGGCGAUGAAGGCCUUCGGGUCGUAAAGCUCUGUUGUUAGGGAAGAACAAGUACCGGAGUAACUGCCGGUACCUUGACGGUACCUAACCAGAAAGCCACGGCUAACUACGUGCCAGCCGCCGCCGUAAAAC